ACGGACGACGGAUGACAGUCGACAACGAACAACGGACAUCGAAUGAGCUGAAGAAGGAUGAACAUGUGCCUGGCUGGAUGGGAUGGGUCGAUGGAUGGCUGGUUAACCGGGACGAAGGACGCGACUGGAGCAAGACCGCAGAGCGAAUAAUAAAUACAAUAAGUACACAUGUGGACGGACAGUCGAACUCGCCCACAGAUGUGAGCACUGCACAAAACCUCAUUAAAGUGUUAAAUCUUUUGACAGCCCGGCGACACUGAUGAAGUUGCGCCUGCCGCACUGCACAGUGGCCACCGUAUGCAUCAAGUGCUCUGGAGCACUUGGGCACUUGAGCACCGGGCAGGUGGACAAAAUAUUAAUCAAGCUAACAUCCAAGGCCGGCAAAAGCCUCUUUCAAUCCGGAAUCGAGCCAAGGACUGUCUGCGAAAUUUAUGCAAACUUAUGCCAGGACAUCCUGUGCCCGCCCAGCCUUCAAUUUAGACGAGACACUCGGCGGCAUGGAGCGUGGGCGCUGGCGAAACGAAACGAAGUUGUGGAGUGGAGCGGAGCGGAAUGGAGUGGAGUGCAGUGGAGUGGGAAAAGUUUAAAUCGUGUUGCGUGCGAAACGCAAAUAUCAAAAAUCGACAUUCGACAUUCGAGGCGUGGUCGCCAGAAACCGCUCGAAAAUUAUAGCUUUCAGUUUGCGCGCGAAUUGUAAUAAAUUUAGGAAACUUAUAUACACACUCAUCCCAACGACCGCCCCUUUGGCAACUCGGCAUUCGGAGUCAUUUUCAUAAACUUCGCCUUGCAAUUGCAGUUCAGCGUCCCUGUUCGGGCGCCAUUACUUGGUUUUGCGCCCCACUUGGCCAGACUGGAGUUAUCCGCCAAACGAGCCGCAACUAGCAGAGGUCGUUAACAGCUGGGACGGCUUAAGCCAAUGGCCAACGGCUGCAAUGCCGCGAAUCCGGCGGAACGGAAAAAAGGAAAUCAAGGAGAGGUGCAAACAACCGUGGAGCAUGAAGUGCCAGGGGAUGUGGCGGCAGGAAGCUGCUCUGACCUCGACCAUGGAAUACACUGCCACGCCCCGAAGUCUCGAAGACCCGCCCGAGCGAUCAAAAAUAUGCUAAUGUUAAUAUGAUGGUGGAAGAGCCAAUGCCGGUGGAUUGGAGCCAGAAUGGCUCCCAUUGGUAACCGGAUCCGGUUGAUCACCCUGUUCAAUGCUGAUGCAUUUUUUAUGGACUCUUCGUACCUUUGUGCCACUCAAUCGCUGCAUGCAUGCAAACCAUAAACGCAGCUGGAUAAAAUUUCUGUAUGUUUGUAAUUAUUUUGUCAUUCUGCAAAUAGUGCAAUGGAAUUGGUAAUAUGGUUCACGCAUUUCUACCCUAGGAUACCCAGUAGAAAUAUAUAUGCACACGACUUCUGCUCUCCUUAACUUAAUCAAUGAAUUUUCAUUUAUGAUUUCAUACGAACAUAUUUUUGACUGAUAUUUCAGCAGUCGCAUACCUUCUGGAGAAUUCAUUAUACCCAGUGCGACGUUUGCCAAUUGAGUACACAGCAAAUUUAUCCAUCCAUAAAUAUUUUCGCAGUUUUUUUUUCAGUUGUUGUCGCUGUCAAAUAUGUUUGCAAUUGUGUAAAUCGUUCGUCGUGUUUGUUGAGCAUAAAGGAAAGGCAAACAAUUUUUAAUGGCGGCGUGAUAAGCUCUUGGCAAACAAAAGUACAAAAUACGCCAAUAACAAGUAACAUAAAAAUAAUGAAAAAAGUGGCUUUACACGAUUUCAGCCUUAACUGUUUCUAGAUGUUCUGUAUGUUACUUUAUUGUUAUUACAUAAAUGAUUUUGUUGUUAAAGAUAAU